rnacentral:rRNA from 1 species
CCUACGGGAGGCAGCAGUGAGGAAUAUUGGUCAAUGGCCGGAAGGCUGAACCAGCCAUGCCGCGUGCAGGUCAGUGCCCUAUGGGCGUUAAACUUCUUUUGUGCGGGAGCAAUAAUGGUCACGUGUGGCCAGACGAGAGUACCGUACGAAUAAGCAUCGGCUAACUCCGUGCCAGAAGCCGCGGUAAUACGGGGGAUGCAAGCGUUAUCCGGAUUUACUGGGGGUAAAGCGGUCGUAGGCGGUAGGUCAAGUCAAGGGUGAAAUCCCCGCGCUCAACGUGGGAACUGCCUUUGACACUGGCAAACUGGAGUGUGUGAGAGGAUAGUGGAAUGCCAGGUGUAGGAGUGAAAUCCGUAGAUAUCUGGAGGAACACCAGUGGCGAAGGCGACUAUCUGGCACAUAACUGACGCUGAGGAGCGAAAGCGUGGGUAGCAAACAGGAUUAGAUACCCCAGUAGUC